CCCUUAGAUGUUCUGGGCCGCACGCGCGCUACACUGACGGAGGCAGCGAGCGUGUCCUUCGCCGGCAGGUGCGGGCAAUCUUGCGAGUCUCCGUCGUGCUGGGGAUAGAUGGUUGCAAUUGUCGAUCUUGAACGAGGAAUUCCUAGUAAGCGCGAGUCAUCAGCUCGCGCUGAUUACGUCCCUGCCUUUUGUACACACCGCCCGUCGCUACUACAGAGUGCCCGUGUCCAAGAAACGGUCGGACCUGUGCGGCCUCUCCGGGCGACCGGAGGGCCGUUACGGGGAAGACCCUUUAUUUGACGCGGGUCGAUGAAGUAAAAGUCGUAACA
rnacentral:rRNA from 1 species